rnacentral:rRNA from 1 species
GCGCCUUGCCAGCCCGCUCAGAAACUCAAAAGGAAUUGACGGGGGCCCGCACAAGCGGAGGAGCAUGUGGUUUAAUUCGAUGAUACGCGAGGAACCUUACCUGGGCUCGAACGUAAGAUGACUGUAGGUGAAAGCUUACAUCUCUUCGGAGCAUUUUACGAGGUGCUGCAUGGUUGUCGUCAGCUCGUGCCGUGAGGUGUCGGGUUAAGUCCCGUAACGAGCGCAACCCUUGUCCUUAGUUACCAGCACGUUAUGGUGGGCACUCUAAGGAGACUGCCGGUGACAAACCGGAGGAAGGUGGGGAUGACGUCAAGUCAUCAUGGCCCUUACGGCCUGGGCUACACACGUGCUACAAUGGUCGGUACAAAGGGUUGCCAAGCCGCGAGGUGGAGCUAAUCCCAUAAAACCGAUCGUAGUCCGGAUCGCAGUCUGCAACUCGACUGCGUGAAGUCGGAAUCGCUAGUAAUCGUGAAUCAGAAUGUCACGGUGAAUACGUUCCCGGGCCUU